UCGUUGGUGUAUAGGCAUAAAAAGUUUUGAUCUUUAAGGAAAUAGGUGUAAAUCCAUUACGUGUAAU
rnacentral:tRNA from 1 species